GACGAACGCUGGCGGCGUGCUUAACACAUGCAAGUCGAACGGAAAGGCCCUGCUUUUGUGGGGUGCUCGAGUGGCGAACGGGUGAGUAACACGUGAGUAACCUGCCCUUGACUUUGGGAUAACUUCAGGAAACUGGGGCUAAUACCGGAUAGGAGCUCCUGCUGCAUGGUGAGGGUUGGAAAGUUUCGGCGGUUGGGGUUGGACUCGCGGCUUAUCAGCUUGUUGGUGGGGUAGUGGCUUACCAAGGCUUUGACGGGUAGCCGGCCUGAGAGGGUGACCGGCCACAUUGGGACUGAGAUACGGCCCAGACUCCUACGGGAGGCAGCAGUGGGGAAUAUUGCACAAUGGGCGGAAGCCUGAUGCAGCAACGCCGCGUGCGGGAUGACGGCCUUCGGGUUGUAAACCGCUUUCGCCCGUGACGAAGCGUGAGUGACGGUAAUGGGUAAAGAAGCACCGGCUAACUACGUGCCAGCAGCCGCGGUGAUACGUAGGGUGCGAGCGUUGUCCGGAUUUAUUGGGCGUAAAGGGCUCGUAGGUGGUUGAUCGCGUCGGAAGUGUAAUCUUGGGGCUUAACCCUGAGCGUGCUUUCGAUACGGGUUGACUUGAGGAAGGUAGGGGAGAAUGGAAUUCCUGGUGGAGCGGUGGAAUGCGCAGAUAUCAGGAGGAACACCAGUGGCGAAGGCGGUUCUCUGGGCCUUUCCUGACGCUGAGGAGCGAAAGCGUGGGGAGCGAACAGGCUUAGAUACCCUGGUAGUCCACGCUGUAAACGGUGGGUACUAGGUGUGGGGUCCAUUCCACGGGUUCCGUGCCGUAGCUAACGCUUUAAGUACCCCGCCUGGGGAGUACGGCCGCAAGGCUAAAACUCAAAGGAAUUGACGGGGCCCCGCACAAGCGGCGGAGCAUGCGGAUUAAUUCGAUGCAACGCGUAGAACCUUACCUGGGUUUGACAUGGAUCGGGAGUGCUCAGAGAUGGGUGUGCCUCUUUUGGGGUCGGUUCACAGGUGGUGCAUGGCUGUCGUCAGCUCGUGUCGUGAGAUGUUGGGUUAAGUCCCGCAACGAGCGCAACCCUUGUUCACUGUUGCCAGCACGUUAUGGUGGGGACUCAGUGGAGACCGCCGGGGUCAACUCGGAGGAAGGUGGGGAUGACGUCAAGUCAUCAUGCCCCUUAUGUCCAGGGCUUCACGCAUGCUACAAUGGCUGGUACAGAGAGUGGCGAGCCUGUGAGGGUGAGCGAAUCUCGGAAAGCCGGUCUCAGUUCGGAUUGGGGUCUGCAACUCGACCUCAUAAAGUCGGAGUCGCUAGUAAUCGCAGAUCAGCAACGCUGCGGUGAAUACGUUCCCGGG
rnacentral:rRNA from 1 species